UGUAAGCUCCUUGAGGACAGGGACUGAUGUGAAUGUGCACUAUGUGAAGAGUUGUGCAAAUUGUCAGCACUACCUAGAUGCCAAUAAUAAAUUU